AACGAACGCUGGCGGCAGGCUUAACACAUGCAAGUCGAGCGCCCUGCAAGGGGAGCGGCAGACGGGUGAGUAACGCGUGGGAAUCUACCCAUCACUACGGAACAACUCCGGGAAACUGGAGCUAAUACCGUGUACGUCCUUCGGGAGAAAGAUUUAUCGGUGAUGGAUGAGCCCGCGUUGGAUUAGCUAGUCGGUGGGGUAAUGGCCCACCAAGGCGACGAUCCAUAGCUGGUCUGAGAGGAUGAUCAGCCACACUGGGACUGAGACACGGCCCAGACUCCUACGGGAGGCAGCAGUGGGGAAUAUUGGACAAUGGGCGAAAGCCUGAUCCAGCCAUGCCGCGUGAGUGAUGAAGGCCCUAGGGUUGUAAAGCUCUUUCACCGGUGAAGAUAAUGACGGUAACCGGAGAAGAAGCCCCGGCUAACUUCGUGCCAGCCGCCGCGGUAAGAC
rnacentral:rRNA from 1 species